rnacentral:rRNA from 1 species
UACAUGCAAGUCGAACGCUUUGUGGUUCAACUGAUUUGAAGAGCUUGCUCAGAUAUGACGAUGGACAUUGCAAAGAGUGGCGAACGGGUGAGUAACACGUGGGAAACCUACCUCUUAGCAGGGGAUAACAUUUGGAAACAGAUGCUAAUACCGUAUAACAAUGACAACCGCAUGGUUGUUAUUUAAAAGAUGGUUCUGCUAUCACUAAGAGAUGGUCCCGCGGUGCAUUAGCUAGUUGGUAAGGUAAUGGCUUACCAAGGCGAUGAUGCAUAGCCGAGUUGAGAGACUGAUCGGCCACAAUGGGACUGAGACACGGCCCAUACUCCUACGGGAGGCAGCAGUAGGGAAUCUUCCACAAUGGGCGAAAGCCUGAUGGAGCAACGCCGCGUGUGUGAUGAAGGGUUUCGGCUCGUAAAACACUGUUGUAAGAGAAGAAUGACAUUGAGAGUAACUGUUCAAUGUGUGACGGUAUCUUACCAGAAAGGAACGGCUAAAUACGUGCCAGCAGCCGCGGUAAUACGUAUGUUCCAAGCGUUAUCCGGAUUUAUUGGGCGUAAAGCGAGCGCAGACGGUUAUUUAAGUCUGAAGUGA